ensembl:lncRNA
CUGCGCUGUGCCGUGGGGACUCCGGACAGAUGUGCUGUGCCAUAGGGAUGCCGUGGGGCUGAGCUGUGCCAUGGGGCUGAGCUCUGCCAUAGGGGUGCCGUGGGGCUGAGCUGUACCAUGGAGCUGAGCUGUGCCACGGGGAUGCCGUGGAGCUGAGCUGUGCCAUGGGGACGCCAUGGGGCUGAGCUGUGCUGUAGGGAUGCCGUGGGGCUGAGCUUUGCCAUGGGGUUGAGCUGUGCCAUGGGGCUGAGCUGUGCCACGGGGAUGCCGUGGGGAUGAGCUGUGCCAUGGGGCUGAGCUGUGCCAUAGGGAUGCCAUGGGGCUGAGCUGUGCCGUAGGGGUGCCGUGGGGCUGUGCUGUGCCAUGGGAAUGCCGUGGUGCUCAGCUGUGCCACAGGGCUGAGCUGUGCCACGGGGCUGGGCUGUGCCAUGGGGUGCCGUGGGGACACCAUGGUGCCACCGCGUCCCUCUGUGCCACAGCUGCACCCGGCAGAGCCGCUCAACCGCAGCCGGCGCCCGGAGCUGAGCGGUGAUGCCGGUGUGGGGCGUGGUGACGCCGCGGCACAGCUGUGUGCUGGCAGUGCUGUGCCGUGUGGUGACCGUGGCAAAGAGGCAGCAGCGCUGCUGGCAGCACUGAGUGAUGGUGGAUCCACGGUGCCACGCCGCGGCACCGGCACUGCCGGGGAGGAGGAGGAGGAGGAGGAGGAAGCAGAGCUGGCGUUGGCACUGCAGUGCUCCAUGGAGGAGAAGAAAAAGGAGGAAGAAGAGGAGGAAGCACAGCUGGCAUUGGCGCUGCAGCGAUCCAUGAAGGAGAAAAAGAAGGAGGAAGAAGACGAGGAGGAAGCACAGCUGGCAAUGGCGCUGCAGUGCUCGAUGGAGGAGGAGGAGGAGGAGGAAGAGGAGGAGGAGGAGGAGGAUGAAGCACAGCUGGCGGCGCAGAGCCGCCCCCCGCCGGACGUGGCGGAGCUGCAGAUUUUCGCGGCGUCGCGGCGCGAUGCUGCAGUGGUGGCGGUGGAGCUGCGGCGGGCGCUGGCAGCGGAGCUGAAGGCGGUGAGGCUGCGGGACGCGGCGCUGCCGGCGCUGCCGGAUGGAAGCCUGGCGAUGCUGCGGCGCCGGCACGCGGUGCAGCUGCGGAUCCGGGGAUGCAGCGCCACGCUGAGAGGAUUUGCGGAGUUCGUCGGCGACGCCGAGCGGGAGCUGAGGGAGAUGCUGGGCGACGGGAAACGGGACGGAGAUGGGGGGACUGCGCAGCCGUGGCGGCGCGCAGCGCGGUGUUGGCGCUGGGUGCGCUGGUCGCCCUGCGGCACGGCGGCGCCGUUGUGCGCGGAGGACGGCGCGGCGCUGGAGGCGCUGUGGCAGCGCGGGGAGCGCCGGGCGCCGGCGGUGCUGGGCGGCCGCCGCGUCACCGUGGACCUGCGGCGCAUGGAGGAGCGCGACGGCGCCGGCACGGUGGCGGUGCUGAGCCGCUGCGCGGUGCCGCCCGGCGCGCCGCCGCUGCUCGGUGCGGAUGCGGCUCAGCUGGGACCGGCCGCUGUGCCACGUCCCGCUGCUGGGACAUCGCAUCCGUCCCGUCCCGUCCC